rnacentral:rRNA from 1 species
UACGUAGGGGGCAAGCGUUUGUCCGGAUUUAUUGGGCGUAAAGAGCGUGUAGGCGGCUAUACAGGUCCGCUGUGAAAACUCGAGGCUCAACCUCGAGACGUCGGUGGAAACCGUAUGGCUAGAGUCCGGAAGAGGAGAGUGGAAUUCCUGGUGUAGCGGUGAAAUGCGCAGAUAUCAGGAAGAACACCCGUGGCGAAGGCGGCUCUCUGGGACGGUACUGACGCUGAGACGCGAAAGCGUGGGGAGCGAACAGG